GCUGGCGGCGUGCUUACAGAUGCGACGUCGAAACGAUGAAAGCCUCCUGCUUGCAGGGGGUGGAUUAGUGGCGAACGGGUGAGUAUCACGUGAGUAACCUGCCCUUGACUCUGGGAUAAGCCUGGGAAACUGGGUCUAAUACCGGAUAUGACCAGUCACCGCAUGGUGUGCUGGUGGAAAGCUUUAGCGGUUUUGGAUGGACUCGCGGCCUAUCAGCUUGACGGUGGGGUAAUGGCCUACCGUGGCGAUGACGGGUAGCCGGCCUGAGAGGGUGACCGGCCACACUGGGACUGAGACACGGCCCAGACUCCUACGGGAGGCAGCAGUGGGGAAUAUUGCACAAUGGGCGAAAGCCUGAUGCAGCGACGCCGCGUGUGGGAUGACGGCCUUCGGGUUGUAAACCACUUUCAGCAGGGAAGAAGCUUUUUGUGACGGUACCUGCAGAAGAAGCGCCGGCUAACUACGUGCCAGCAGCCGCGGUAAUACGUAGGGCGCGAGCGUUAUCCGGAAUUAUUGGGCGUAAAGAGCUCGUAGGCGGUUUGUCGCGUCUGCUGUGAAAGCCCGGGGCUUAACCCCGGGUGUGCAGUGGGUACGGGCA
rnacentral:rRNA from 1 species